GAUUUUUCUGACGACGGACAUGGC
rnacentral:miRNA from 1 species